rnacentral:rRNA from 1 species
GUAUUUAUUAGAUUAAAACCAAUACCGGCAACGGUUUCAUGGUGAAUCAUAAUAACUUUUCGAACCGCAUGUCUUUAUGACGGCGGUGAUUCAUUCAAAUUUCUGCCCUAUCAGCUUUCGAUGGUAGUAUAGAGGACUACCAUGGCAUUCACGGGUAACGGAGAAUUAGGGUUCGAUUCCGGAGAGGGAGCCUGAGAAACGGCUACCACAUCCAAGGAAGGCAGCAGGCGCGCAAAUUACCCAAUCCUGAUUCAGGGAGGUAGUGACAAUAAAUAACAAUACUCGACCUUUGGUUGAGUAAUUGGAAUGAGAACAAUUUAAACCCCUUAACGAGGAUCAAUUGGAGGGCAAGUCUGGUGCCAGCAGCCGCGGUAAUUCCAGCUCCAAUAGCGUAUAUUAAUGUUGUUGCAGUUAAAAAGCUCGUAGUCGGAUUUCAGGCAAGGGUUGAGUGGUCUGCCUUCGGGUGUGUACUGCUCGCGCUUGUCUUUUUUGGGAAAGCGGCGUCCCCCUUUCAUUAGGCGGGGCGUUCGCUUCUCAUCAUUUACCUUGAAAAAAUUAGAGUGUUCAAAGCAGGCG